GCGUGUCUGGGGCUGAGGAGAACCAGGGACUCACAGGAAAGGAACAGUGAGUGCGUCUAGAAGCACAAGAGGAGGGCCAGAAAAAUAAGACAGGCGGGAAAGGACAGCCCACCGCACAGCCCAGGUGUCAGCGGCCAGCCCUGCAGCAGCUGCGGCGUGGGAGCUCAGGGAACUGACGUUUAACACGUGUGCAUUUCACUGUAUUUAAUGUUUAAGCCCUCUAACUCUUUGUUGUCUAUGAAAAGUCACAGCAAACCCAGAUGGACAAUAUUACUCAGAGCACAUCAUUUUAGUGGUAGACGUGCCCACUCCCAGGGCCUGGAUGCAUUCCGAGAGCCUUGGCCGUGCCCCGUGGUCUCGAGCCACACAAUGCUUCAGUGGAGACCCUGAGAUGGACGCUUCUGAAGGCAGCCCUCAUCCUUCCGGGGCAGACCAGACUGUGUCCUGGCCGUAUCAGCACACGCGGAUAUCCAUCACACAGACCGGUGUUCAGCCUUUGAAUAUGAGCUUCCAAAAAUAUUUGCCAUGUAGACGGGUCAUCACUGCCCUCUACUGGUUUCCAGCCCCAAGUUUAAGACUGAGAAAAAGAAGGACAGGGAAUGAAAUGAGAAGAAUGGAAUAGGCAUCAAACCCUGGGAGACUGCACUCUCCUGACACGAAGCGGAGAAAAGAAGACGUACCUGUGCCGAUGUUAUCGGCUUUCUGGUUUGUUGUCUUAAUAAACUAUUUAUACCACAGACUGAUUACCAGGGAGGUUGUUUCUGAGGAGUUUCAAAUCAUUAUUAAUUCAUAAUUCAGUUCCAGGAAAGAAGUCAGCAGCAUAAAAUAAGAAAAAUUAAUAAAUUCCAAAAAAAUCUUUAUUUUAUGUGUACAUAAAUUAUUUGUAAAGGACAGAUAAUUAUUUAUAAACGACAAGUUUUUGGUAAAGGAUAAUAAUUUGUAAAUUAUCUUGUCAAUGACAAUUAUGUGUAAAUGACAAAUUUUAUACAUACAUUAAAAUCUGUAGAUCAUCUGUAGAAAACGGUUUGGUGA
rnacentral:lncRNA from 1 species